rnacentral:rRNA from 1 species
CAGCCGCCGCGGUAAUACGUAGGUCCCGAGCGUUGUCCGGAUUUAUUGGGCGUAAAGCGAGCGCAGGCGGUUUGAUAAGUCUGAAGUUAAAGGCUGUGGCUCAACCAUAGUUCGCUUUGGAAACUGUCAAACUUGAGUGCAGAAGGGGAGAGUGGAAUUCCAUGUGUAGCGGUGAAAUGCGUAGAGAUGUGGAGGAACACCAGUGGCGAAGGCGACUCUCUGGUCUGUAACUGACGCCGAGGAGCGAAAGCGUGGGGAGCGGACAGGAUUAGAUACCCGCGUAGUCCCUGUCUCUUAUACA